rnacentral:rRNA from 1 species
GUCUACGGCCAUACCACCCUGAACGCACCUGAUCUCUUCUGAUCUCGAAAGCUAAGCAGGGUAGGGCCUGGUUAGUGCUUGGAUGGGAGACAGUGAGGAAACCCAGAAAGGCCUAUCUG